rnacentral:piRNA from 1 species
UGGCUGCUUAAGUUUUUGUUCAUUAGA